rnacentral:rRNA from 1 species
AUUGAACGCUGGCGGCAUGCCUUACACAUGCAAGUCGAACGGCAGCCCGGGUUCUUGCACCUGGUGGCGAGUGGCGAACGGGUGAGUAAUACAUCGGAACAUGUCCUGUAGUGGGGGAUAGCCCGGCGAAAGCCGGAUUAAUACCGCAUACGAUCUACGGAUGAAAGCGGGGGACCUUCGUGCCUCGCGCUAUAGGGUUGGCCGAUGGCUGAUUAGCUAGUUGGUGGGGUAAAGGCCUACCAAGGCGACGAUCAGUAGCUGGUCUGAGAGGACGACCAGCCACACUGGGACGGAGACACGGCCCAGAGGCCUACGGGAGGAAGCAGUGGGGAAUUUUGGACAAUGGGCGAAAGCCUGAGCCAGCAAUGCCGCGUGUGGGAAGAAGGCCUUCGGGUUGUAAAGCACGUUUGUCCGGAAAGAAAUCCUUGGCUCUAAAACAGUCGGGGGAUGACGGUACCGGAAGAAUAAGCACCGGCUAACUACGUG